CCCUUAGAUGUUCUGGGCCGCACGCGUGCUACACUGAGUAAAUCAAUGGGUAAGGGAACACGAAAGUGCAACCUAAUCUUGAAAUUUGCUCGUGAUGGGGAUCGACGGUUGCAAUUUUCCGUCGUGAACGAGGAAUACCUUGUAGGCGCGUGUCAUCAUCACGCGCCGAAUACGUCCCUGCCCUUUGUACACACCGCCCGUCGCUCCUACCGAUUGAGUGAUCCGGUGAGGCUCUGGGACCUGGACGGAAAGAGCGUUUCGCUUGUUCUGUUUGGGAAACUUGGUCGAACCUUAUCAUUUAGAGGAAGGGGAAGUCGUAACA
rnacentral:rRNA from 1 species